rnacentral:lncRNA from 1 species
AUAAACCUCACAGUGACCGACUUCAUAACAAGCUUCUUCAUUCUGAUUGUUAUACUCAAAAAAAUGAGAAUGAUAAAUGUAAAAUAUAUGAAAGAAAUGUUUUUUUACCAUUCUUUUAUGAGUGGCCGCAACUGAACAAGAUCCACCCGUGUAUGGCAUGUAAUCUGGAUUGUUUGUCCUAUUUUCUGAUGCUUUUUCGGAUCUUUUUUUCCAAUCUUCUUUUAACCAAAUUUCAAUCAUUUCACUCCAUACUUCCGCAGAUAGGUAUAUCGGUGGAAAUCUAGCGCAAGAUCUGGUCAGUGUGUCAACUUUUGCCAAUUUCUUUGCCUCUUGUCUCGCUUUAUACAACCAACAUGUAUAAUUUAAUUGUACAUAAUUAUCAAAACAUUCACGAGCCAAUUGAAUGUCCUCAAAUGAGAAAUAGCACUACAUAAAGACGAAAACAUUACAUAUGGAAAAAAAUGACAUAUGGAAAAAAAUGACAUAUGGAAAAAAUGACAAAUAAAUAAAUAAAUCAUACCAGAAAUUUGACGAAAAUAUUUUCCUUUUCCUCUUCUUUCCAAGAAGUCCAUUUAGUUAAAGGUGACGUUAUAUUACCUUUUACUAAUAUUCCUAUUUGACUUCUUACAUUGUUUGUAAAAGUCCUAUAAAAAACAAUCAAAUUAAAUAAUAAAAUAUAAUGAAUUAUAAUGAAAAUACUCACCCGCUCUUAAGAAUAGUGGCGGGAGUUGGUGCAUCCGGUUGUCUCAAUCCUUUUGUCCAUUUUC